rnacentral:rRNA from 1 species
AGUGAACGCUGGCGGUAGGCCUAACACAUGCAAGUCGAACGGCAGCACAGUAAGAGCUUGCUCUUACGGGUGGCGAGUGGCGGACGGGUGAGGAAUACAUCGGAAUCUACUUUUUCGUGGGGGAUAACGUAGGGAAACUUACGCUAAUACCGCAUACGACCUACGGGUGAAAGCAGGGGAUCUUCGGACCUUGCGCGAUUGAAUGAGCCGAUGUCGGAUUAGCUAGUUGGCGGGGUAAAGGCCCACCAAGGCGACGAUCCGUAGCUGGUCUGAGAGGAUGAUCAGCCAGCUUGUCUCUGAGACACGGUCCCGACUCCUACGGGAGGCCGCAGUGGGGAAUAUUGGACGAUGGGGGAAUGCCUGAUCCAGCCAUACCGCGUGGGUGAAGAAGGACUUCGGGUUGUAAAGCCCUUUUGUUGGGAAAGAAAAGCAGCAGGUUAAUCCCCCGCUGUUCUGACGGUACCCAAAGAAUAAGCACCGGCUAACUUCGUG